rnacentral:tRNA from 1 species
AGAGAGUUGACAGAGUGGUUGAUUGUGGCUAGCUUGAACUAGGUUUUUGCUUACCCAAACAUAGGUUCGAAUCCUAUACUCUCUG